CCGCACUCUAUAGAUUGAAGUCAUUCAGUGCAAGUAGGUAAAACGAAAUCAUGGCCACGAACUUGUUCUCUCUCAGCUUCUUUGCCCUGAUGAUCUGGUACCAUGUGACGGUGAUACGCCCCUAACUGACUCUUUGGGUGAUGAUCUAUACUGUGGUCGUGGAGGCCAGCGGUGUCCUAUUGGUUCAUACUGUGACAUACAUCCUACAGAUAGAUAUGCCAAAUGCUGCCCAAAUAAAGAUGAGCCUGUUUCAUGUGAUGGCGACAAGCCGCUGACUGACUACACUGGCAAAGAUUUGUACUGCGGUCGUGGCGGAGUCAGCUGUCCAUAUGGCUCGCAUUGCGACAUACACCCCUCCGACAAAUAUGCAAAAUGUUGUCCCGUAAAAGGAACCAAACAACAGCAGUGAUCAAGUUCCUUCAACAUCACCUUCAAAUAUCAACUCUACCAAUGGCAUUCAAUACUUGGAAGAGCCAAACAAUGACGUUCGGGGAGCGAGACGCAAGAUACCGACAGAACAUAUUGAUACGUAUCCCCCACCUGGCUUCACAAGCAAAGGCCAUCGCGUAAUGCAGCCAGAGGACACACAUCAAUAGUGAUUACAAAGGCAGAAUUUUAUUUGUUAUGGUUGAGGAUACUCUAGGGAAUGACACAUGGCUUUAAAAGAAUAAGAUUCUUUGUUUGAGUUGCAUCCAUAUUCAUGUGUCUUCUCAUGUGCAACUUUUAAACAAAGAAAUGAUACUCUAGGGAAUGACGCAUGGUCUUGAGAAUAAGAUUCUUCGUUUGAGUUGUAUCCGUUAGUUGUUAUCCGUUGUAUAAAUUAGCCUCAUUUAAGGGUCAUAUAUUCAUUAAUACUGCACCAAAACGGAGAACGCUUGACUGUAACAAAGAGAACACUAAAGCCUGGUUUUCACAAGCGACGGAAGCAGAGGCGGGAGCAGAAGCAGAAACUUAAGACGUCUUAUGUUCCUGUGAAAAUCAAAAACGGAGACGUAAGCAGAAGCCGAACAUCGACGGAAGCAUAAGCAGAAGGAACGGAAGGUUUCCUUUUUCUUAUGCUUAUGCUUCUGCUUCCGUCCUUAUGUCGCUAGUGAAAACCAGAUUCUUAUGCUUACGUCGCUAACAUACAGAAGCACAAGGUGGUAGGCCAAUCAAAUUCUCGUACUCAGUCCCCUACACGGGAAACUUCCUAUUGUUCCUCUUAUGCUCCGUCACAUUCAUUUACACUAGAACAUAACGAUCUUAUGCUUAUGGUCAUGCUCAUGCUUCAGUCAGAAAAGAAAGAAUAGAAUAUGGUAAACUUCAGUAAAGAAAAUAAAUGUAAAUCAAAYAAGAUUUUUUUUAAAUGACUUUAAAAAGUAAGAAGACGAUUUUAGGAUAUUUUAAUAAAUUGCCAGUUUGAUA